GCCUCGCUGGUGUGGUGGUAGUAGCACGCGCCCCCGGUAAGGACGAAACGCAAGUUCGAAUCCUUCCUGAGGCC